GGUCGCUUAGCUCAGUUGGUUAGAGCGUGGUGCUAAUAUCUUCUCUGUUCAUUCAGAGACAUAUGUGACGCCAAGGUCGGCGGUUCGACCCCGCCAGUGAUCA